rnacentral:rRNA from 1 species
ACGGAAGGCAGCAGUGAGGAAUAUUGGUCAAUGGACGGAAGUCUGAACCAGCCAAGUCGCGUGAGGGAUGAAGGCCCUACGGGUUGUAAACCUCUUUUGCCGGGGGAUAAACCUGACCACGCGUGGUCAGCUGAAGGUACCCGGUGAAUAAGCAUCGGCUAACUCCGUGCCAGCAGCCGCGGUAAUACGGAGGAUGCGAGCGUUAUCCGGAUUUAUUGGGUUUAAAGGGUGCGUAGGCUGUGCGACAAGUCAGGGGUGAAAGCCCGCCGCCCAACGGUGGAACUGCCUUUGAUACUGUCGCGCUGGAAUACGGAUGCCGUGGGAGGAAUGAGUAGUGUAGCGGUGAAAUGCAUAGAUAUUACUCAGAACACCGAUUGCGAAGGCAUCUCACGAAUCCGUCAUUGACGCUGAGGCACGAAAGCGUGGGGAUCAAACAGGAUUAGAUACCCUGGUA